ACGCUCGACACCUACGGGAGGCAGCAGUGGGGAAUAUUGCACAAUGGGGGAAACCCCGAUGCAGCGACGCCGCGUGGAGGAAGAAGGUCUUCGGAUUGUAAACUCCUGUUGUUGGGGAAAAAGAGGAUGGUACCCAACAAGGAAGUGACGGCUAACUACGUGCCAACAGCCGCGGUAAUCUGAGCGGGCUGGCAAGGC
rnacentral:rRNA from 1 species